rnacentral:rRNA from 1 species
AGAGUUUGAUCAUGGCUCAGAUUGAACGCUGGCGGCGUGCCUAACACAUGCAAGUCGAGCGGCAGNNNNNGGCAACCUGGCGGCGAGCGGCGGACGGGUGAGUAACGCUUGAGAAUCUGCCUAUUAGUGGGGGACAACCCGGGGAAACUCGGGCUAAUACCGCAUACGCACUACGGUGGAAAGCCGGGGACCGCAAGGCCUGGCGCUAAUAGAUGAGCUCAAGUCGGAUUAGCUAGUUGGUAGGGUAACGGCCUACCAAGGCGACGAUCCGUAGCUGGUCUGAGAGGACGACCAGCCACACCGGAACUGAGACACGGUCCGGACUCCUACGGGAGGCAGCAGUGGGGAAUAUUGGACAAUGGGCGAAAGCCUGAUCCAGCGACGCCGCGUGGGUGAAGAAGGCCUGCGGGUUGUAAAGCCCUUUCGGUGGGGAAGAAAUGCUUCGAGUUAAUACCUCGGGGCUUUGACGUAACCCACAGAAGAAGCACCGGCUAACUCUGUGCCAGCAGCCGCGGUAAUACAGAGGGUGCGAGCGUUAAUCGGAAUUACUGGGCGUAAAGCGCGCGUAGGCGGCUUUGCAAGCCGGAUGUGAAAUCCCCGGGCUUAACCUGGGAACUGCAUUCGGGACUGCAUUGCUAGAGUAUGGGAGAGGGAAGUGGAAUUUCAGGUAGCGGUGAAAUGCGUAGAUAUCUGAAGGAACAUCAGUGGCGAAAGCGACUUCCUGGACCAAUACUGACGCUCAUGUGCGAAAGCGUGGGGAGCAAACAGGAUUAGAUACCCUAGUAGUCC